AUACAGCGAAACUGCGAAUGGCUCAUUAUAUAAGUUAUCUGUUUAUUUGAUAGUGCCUUACUACUUGGAUAACCGUGGUAAUUCUAGAGCUAAUACAUGCUAAAAACCCCGACUUCGGAAGGGGUGUAUUUAUUAGAUACAAAACCAAUGCCCUUCGGGGCUCUUUGGUGAUUCAUGAUAACUAUACGAAUCGCACGGCCUUGCGCCGGCGAUGGUUCAUUCAAAUUUCUUCCCUAUCAACUUUCGAUGUUUGGGUAUUGGCCAAACAUGGUUGCAACGGGUAACGGAGGGUUAGGGCUCGACCCCGGAGAAGGAGCCUGAGAAACGGCUACUACAUCCAAGGAAGGCAGCAGGCGCGCAAAUUACCCAAUCCCGACUCGGGGAGGUAGUGACAAUAAAUACUGAUACAGGGCCCUUUCGGGCCUUGUAAUUGGAAUGAGUACAAUUUAAAUCCCUUAACGAGGAACAAUUGGAGGGCAAGUCUGGUGCCAGCAGCCGCGGUAAUUCCAGCUCUAAUAGCGUAUAU
rnacentral:rRNA from 1 species